CCUGCUAUGCGAUUAGCAGUAGCCUAGGGGGACAUGCGUCACUGGCAACGGUGGGGUGUGAAGCUCCCCUGACAAUGUAGCCCCCGUAAGGGUGCCCUCUCGUCGUGAGAUCGGAGGGUAGAAAGCCGAAGCAGCAUCGGUUGAGGAGC
rfam:Freshwater sediment metagenome lwFormate_C2779, whole genome shotgun sequence.